GGUCAGGAUAGUUCAGUUGGUAGAGCA
rnacentral:tRNA from 1 species